GGUUAAGUGACUAAGCGUACACGGUGGAUGCCUUGGCAGUCAGAGGCGAUGAAGGACGUAUUAACUUGCGAUAAGCGUAGAUUAGGCAGUAAAAGCCACUUGAGUCUACGAUUUCCGAAUGGGGAAACCCACUAGCAUAAGCUAGUAUCGCUGCGUGAAUACAUAGCGCAGCGAGGCGAACUCGGGGAACUGAAACAUCUAAGUACCCGAAGGAAAAGAAAUCAACUGAGAUUCCGAAAGUAGCGGCGAGCGAAAUUGGACUAGCCCUUAAGCUUUAAAUGAUGCAGGUGAACACGCUGGAAAGCGUGGCAAUAAAGGGUGAUAGCCCCGUAACCGACACAUCAUUCUAAGUGAAAACGAGUAAGGCGGGACACGUG
rnacentral:rRNA from 1 species